CAAAAAGACCCGGGGUGCGGAUUGGGUGUGAUACACACACUUCUCUCCAUCAUGUUCUUCGCUUUGAGAAGGUGAAGAACUUAAAAGAACAGGAAAAAAAUGGUGGAUAGAGAGAGAGACCGUGAGAGAGACAGAGACAGAGAUAGAGAAAGAAGGAGAGACAGAGAAGAUAGAGACCGAGACCGUGAAAGAGAUAGAAUCAAAGAUCGAGAUCGAAGCAGAAGAUCACGAACCCCAGAACGUACUCGUUCAUCAAGACAUACUCGUUCUCGUACCCGCUCACCAAGACGCCCUCGCUCCGGUACCCGUUCACCAUCAGAUCGAAGAGUAAAAUCAAGAUCUCGUUCACGUUCCGUCGACCGUUCUCGACGACAUCAUCAUCACCGUGACCGUUCUCCGUCGCAAGAACGAAAACACCGUCGUGACGACAACAAACAAAGAAGGGAUUCAUCAGUUGAUAUAGUAUCAGAAUUUGUUGAUGGAAUUGUAAGGGAGCAAGAUGAGAAGAAGGCACCUAAUGAAGAUGGUAAUGAGGGAGAAAUUAUGAUGGAUAAUGAUGAGAUUGAGUUGAUGAAGAAAUUAGGUAUGCCUGUUGGCUUUGAUUCAACUAAAGGUAAACCUGUACCUGGUGCUGAUGUUAGUGGGAUUAGAAUGACUACUAAAAGACAACCUCGACAGUAUAUGAAUAGACGUGGAGGGUUUAAUCGGCCUCUUCCUCUCGAGCGUAAUCGUUGAUAUUCAUUCUCCAAGAAUCUCGCCUUUGGUUGUAAUUGCAAAUAUGCAAUUAGUCAACUGAUAGUGAAGGUCGUAGCUCGUAGGUUUCUCAUUGUUCAAAUAUUCAGGGAGUAUUGUGGUGGCAAGAUGGAAGUGGAGCUGUUUGUGCCUCAGUUGCAAGGUGACUUUAGUCAGAGAUAUAUCAGAAUGUAAUUUGAAAAAUACUGUAAGAUGGUUAUAUAUUCUCUCUUAAAAACUUUCAGAUACCUGAGAUGGAUAUUAUGUUUGGUCUCUGAUUAUCCUUAUAGGUGGAUGUGAGUGCUCAUAACAGAUUUGUUAUGAGGUGUAGCUAAUAUCCUCUGUUUGUCGACCCGACCGAAUUUAUUCUCUUCUGUUCCA